rnacentral:rRNA from 1 species
AGUGAACGCUGGCGGCAGGCCUAACACAUGCAAGUCGAGCGGCAGCGGGUCCCCGCGAGGGGAUGCCGGCGAGCGGCGGACGGGUGAGGAACACAUCGGAAUCUGCCUGGUUGUGGGGGAUAACGUAGGGAAACUUACGCUAAUACCGCAUGCGACCCUGAGUCGACGGACUGGGGGUGAAAGUGAGGGACCUUCGGGCCUCACGCGACCAGAUGAGCCGAUGUCGGAUAGCUAGUUGGCGGGGUAACGGCCCGCCCAAGGCGACGAUCCGUAGCUGGUCUGAGAGGAUGAUCAGCCACACUGGGACUGAGACACGGCCCACGACUCCUACGGGAGGCAGCAGUGGGGAAUCUUGGACAAUGGGCGCAAGCCUGAUCCAGCCAUGCCGC